UACGUAGGGUGCAAGCGUUGUCCGGAUUCAUUGGGCGUAAAGAGCUCGUAGGCGGCUUUGCAAGUCGGGUGUGAAAUCCCCAGGCUUAACCUGGGAACUGCAUUCGAGACUGCAUUGCUAGAGUAUGGGAGAGGAGAAUGGAAUUCCCGGUGUAGCGGUGAAAUGCGCAGAUAUCGGGAAGAACACCCGUGGCGAAGGCGGUUCUCUGGGACGGUACUGACGCUGAGACGCGAAAGCGUGGGGAGCGAACAGG
rnacentral:rRNA from 1 species